GGAUGACACCGCAGUUAGAGGACAGAUCAAUGGCGGAGACAAAGUGGGCUACAGGAGGGAGGUGGCCCGCCUGGUGUGAGAACAACAAACUCGCCUUCAACACUGACAAGACAAAGGAGAUGAUAGUGGAAAUGAGGAAGGGGAGGAGACCUCAUCAGCCACUGUCUAUCCAGGAGCUUGAAGUGGAAAGGGAGUGCUGUCAGCAUUGCUGCGGAGAUUGAAGAGGUGGGGGGGUCAGCCUGUUACUGCUCAGACCAUACGCCACACUCUACAUCAAAUUGAUGUGCAUGGCUGUCACCCCAGGAGGAAGCCUCUUCUGAAGACGGUACACAAGAAAGCCCGCAAACAGUUUGCUGAUGACAUGUCAACAAAGCACAUGGAUUACUGGAAUUUUUUUUUGUGCUUUUAAACACAAUCUGUGAAAGAAGAAAAUAAUAUUUUAUUUGUGCUAAUAAAACACAAUCAUUAGCUGCGGUGAAA